rnacentral:rRNA from 1 species
UACGGGGGGAGCAAGCGUUGUUCGGAUUUACUGGGCGUAAAGGGCGCGUAGGCGGUCAGCACAAGUCAGUUGUGAAAUCUCCGGGCUUAACUCGGAAAGGUCAACUGAUACUGUGCGACUAGAGUGCGGAAGGGGCAACUGGAAUUCUCGGUGUAGCGGUGAAAUGCGCAGAUAUCGGGAGGAACACCAAUUGCGAAGGCAGCUCGCUGGGACGUUACUGACGCUGAGACGCGAAAGCGUGGGGAGCAAACAGG